rnacentral:ncRNA from 1 species
UACUUAGAUUAUUGGUGACAAGGUGUUGACCGUCCCUUGCCCAACUUGCAUGGCCGGAAGCAUCUCUUUAUGAGAUGCUCUAUGCUGGGUCCCUAGCCCGUCUGGCAUUGCUUGUAGAAUUUCUUAACGAAAUUCUCGUUGACGGGUCCCUACAUCAUUUUAUGUACGAAUCUCAUGAUAGCUAGAGUUGCGAUAACAAUUGUAGUAAUUAAAGAAAAGAGCUUAAAUUUUUUAU